rnacentral:lncRNA from 1 species
AUGCACUUGAGAUGCCUGUGGCCAGGUGUAGGCUCCUGCAGUACAGUGUGGCUACUUGAGAACGCUAUAUCUUCCGGCGGAAAGGUGAAAGGUUCAUCUCAGCGCAGCAUAGCAUUGGGCCAUGCAGCUGUGCUCCUCUGGCACUCAGAGAGGCGGCCACUCAACCCCCCACUCACCAGAGGGGUCCAGACCACCUGGCUCCAGGGGCAGCUGACUGGCCUAUUCAGCUGAAUGCACAGGCAGACCAGCGGCUCAUCCCUGGCCUGCCCCGGAGGUGGACGCGUGGAGUGCGAGGGGCCUGUGUGGAAGGUCAGCGGAGCCAGAGGAAAAGCCCACGUUUGUGGGAGCGCGAGGCGAGUGGAUGAGUGACCAUUUACACCCGAGUGGAACAUAGGGAGAGAUUCACGGGGAGUCAGCUGAUGCUACUGGCACUAUAUUUGUAUCGCAGGAAGGGAUGGGAAUUAUUUACUUCCUGCCAUUAUAGAAUAAAGGGAUCGAAGAGGGGAGAAAGAGUGACA